rnacentral:rRNA from 1 species
AUGGCCCCCAACUCUGACCAUGAUCACCUCCGUGCCCUCAAGAAGUUCGACGACACCAAGGCCGGUGUAAAAGGCAUCAUCGAUUCUGGUAUCACCUCCAUUCCGACCAUCUUCCACCACCCUCCAGAGGCCUUCGCCCCAUUGGCACCUCUGUCCACUAAUAUUUUCAUCCCGGUUAUUGAUCUCUUGGGCCACCGAUCAGAGGUAGUCAUCGCAGUGAAGGCGGCUGUGGAAACGUUGGGCUUCUUCCUAGUGGUUAAUCAUGGCGUGCCAGAGGCGACCAUGUCGGACACGCUAGCAGCGGUAAAGGGCUUCCACGAGGGGCCAGUGAAGGAAAAGGAGCCCUACUACACACGGAGCGAGGGGAGGCGCGUUAGGUAUAGUGGCAAUGCAGACCUAUUCCGAUCCCCUGCGGCCAAGUGGCGUGACACCUUGUACAUCGAUGAUGCAGACCAGCUGGUGGAGGAGGUCCUCCCACCGAUGUGUAGGGGGGCUAUGCCAGAGUACACGAGGCUCAUGCGACAAUUGGGCCAUGUCCUCUUUGGGCUAAUGUCUGAGGCUCUAGGGUUGCAGCAUGACUAUAUGGAGGAGGAAACAGGUUGCUUAGAUGCGCUACUCCUGGGCUGCCACUACUACCCAGCGUGCCCGGAGCCGCACCUCACGUUGGGUGCUGUUAGGCACUCCGACGCCAGCUUCCUCACUGUGGUGCUCCAGGACGGUACUGUCGAUGGACUACAAUUGCUCGUCCAUGACAACAAGCAGCAACAGGUGUGGGUGAAGGUGCCGGCUAUGGCAGGGGCACUGGCAGUGAAUGUGGGUGACUUCCUACAAUUGGUGUCCAACGACAGGUUCAAGAGUGUUGUGCACCGUGUGGUGUCCAACAGUGCAGGUCCCAGAGUGUCAGUGGUGUGCUUCUUCAGGGCAAAUAUGGCGACAUUGUGCGGGCCAGUGGUCGUCGACGGGAGUGGUCCACCACGGUAUAGGACCGUCAAGGCAGAGGAGCUAUUUGGCUCAUCCAGGACCAUGCUCAAGUCGGCCUUAUCACCCCAAACUGCGCUAGACUACUUAAGGCUCUAA